GUGAAUCAUCGAAUUUUUGAACGCAAAUUGCGCUUCCUGGCAUCCCGGGAAGUAUGCCUGUUUGAGGGUCAGUAUUAACAAAAAAUCGGUUUGGUUGCAACUUGUGACGUUUCCGGAGUAUGGGCUUAUCUUAACUUUUUUGGUUAAGGGGCUUAAAAUUGACUUUUUUUGCGCAUUUUAUUAGAUGUACAUAAAUUUUUUUUUUUUUUCGUCGGUCUAAUUGCUCAAUAUCUUAUGAUAUGA
rnacentral:misc_RNA from 1 species